AUUGAACGCUGGCGGCAGGCUUAACACAUGCAAGUCGAGCGAGCCGCGGACGGGUUAUUACUGUCUGGGCCACUGCCUGGUGGAUGGGGACACCUACUGGAAACUGUAGCUAAUACCGCCUUCCAUGAGAUGUGCCGGGAUGGGAUUAGCUAGUGGGUGGGGUAACGGCUCACCUAGGCGACGAUCCCUAGCUGGUCUGAGAGGACGACCAGCCACACUGGAACUGAGACACGGCCCAGACUCCUACGGGAGGCAGCAGUGGGGAAUAUUGCACAAUGGGCGAAAGCCUGAUGCAGCCAUGCCGCGUGUGUGAAGAAGGCCUUCGGGUUGUAAAGCACUUUCAGCGGGGAAGCGGUACUCGCAGAAGAAGCACCGGCUAACUCCGUGCCAGCAGCCGCGGUAAUUC
rnacentral:rRNA from 1 species